rnacentral:rRNA from 1 species
AAUAUUGGACAAUGGGGGCAACCCUGAUCCAGCCGUGCCGCGUGUAUGAUGAAGGUCUUCGGAUUGUAAAGCACUUUAAGUUGGGAGGAAGGGGUUUAGGUUAAUACGCGGUAGUUUUGACGUUACCUGCAGAAUAAGCACCGGCUAACUCUGUGCCAGCAGCCGCGGUAAUACAUAGGGUGCAAGCGUUAAUCGGAAUUACUGGGCGUAAAGCGCGCGUAGGUGGUUCAGAAAGAAGGUUGUGAAAUCCCAGGGCUAAACCUGGGAACUGCAUUCAUAACUGCCGAGCUAGAGUACGGCAGAGGGUGGUAGAAUUUCAUGUGUAGCAGUGAAAUGCGUAGAUAUGGGAAGGAACACCAAUGGCGAAGGCAACUACCUGGAAUAAUACUGACACUCAGGCGCGAAAGCGUGGGGAGCAAAC